rnacentral:lncRNA from 1 species
AAUUUGCCAAUUUGAUCAAGAUAACCCAAAGGGCUUGAAGAUUAUUUCCCAAGGAAACCCUAAUUUCACUGUGCUUUUACUGUGCCUUGCCCAUGAAGCAAUCUCAACCUCUGAUCAAAUUUAAUUAAGGGAAGUUCUUUCAUUCAUCAUUUUAUGCAUAUAUGAGCCUAUUUCAGACCCCUCAAUCAUUUAUUCAUCAAUAUUGGAAGUUUGGCCUUGAAAAGUUGACCAGUCAAGUCAUCUAACUAAGCUGAGGAUCAAUG